GCCUGGGUGGCUGAGUCAGUUAAGCAUCAGACUUCAGCUCAGGUCAUGAUCUCACAGUUCAUGGGUUCAAGCCCCAUGUUGGGCU
rnacentral:tRNA from 1 species